ACAACGGCUCUUUUAAGAGCCACCAACACAUCUGCAGAGCAUUU
rfam:Oryzias latipes DNA, chromosome1, strain: Hd-rR.